CUGGACGGCCAGUGGGAACUCCUCAGAGAGCACUCAGCCAGACGGACCUGCUUUCUCCUUCUGGUCCCUGUCCGGACUUCCAGGGCUUUGCCGUGUCAGGAGAAUAAGGAGUUAGACUUCACCCGUCCAGUUCUGGGCGAGAGACAAACCAGUGGAGAAUUUGCCCUACAUUUGUGAUUGCCUGCACAGCUGGAAGCUGGAAGAGGGAGGCGUCCACAACCCGCCCCGAAGAGCCCUUCCCUUACCCCAAGUCAAGAAAAAUAUGGAUCUGAAAUUUGCGCCGUGUUGCACAACACUGUCCAGCUGCAGAGAAACACGAGGCAAAAGGCUGAGUAGAGACUCGGGAGAGCAUCUCUCUCAGCCUGGGCGACAGGAGCGCUGGUCCCUUGGAGUCGGCGAGUGAGGGAUG